AGCAGCCGCGGUAAUUCCAGCUCCGAUAGCGUAUAUUAAAGUUGUUGCAGUUAAAAGCUCGUAGUUGAAUUUCGGGAUCAAUUUGCUGGUCGUGCCUUUGGUACGUACUGGUUUUAUUGGUUUCUCCUUUCUGAAGAACUACGAUGUCAUUAAUUUGGUGUCGUGGGGAAUCAGGACUGUUACUUUGAAAAAAUUAGAGUGUUUAAAGCAGGCUUACGCUUGAAUACAUUAGCAUGGAAUAAUGAAAUAGGACGUUUGAUUCUAUUUUGUUGGUUUCUAGGAUUGACGUAAUGAUUAAUAGGGAUAGUUGGGGGCAUUAGUAUUCAAUUGUCAGAGGUGAAAUUCUUGGAUUUAUUGAAGACUAACUACUGCGAAAGCAUUUGCCAAGGA
rnacentral:rRNA from 1 species